rnacentral:tRNA from 1 species
GAGCCCGUCGGACUCCGGCGACAAGGGCUCGCAACGGACCUCUAAUCCGCAGGUUGCAGGUUCGAGUCCUGCCGGGCGCGCCC